GCCGGGUGUGGUGGUGCAUGCCUGUAGUCCCAGCUACUCGGGAGGCUGAGGCAGGAGAAUUGCUUGAACCCAGGAGGCAGAGGUUGCAGUGAGUCGAGAUCUCGCCACUGCACUCCAGCCUGGGUGACAGAGCAAGACUCUGUCUCAA
rfam:Gorilla gorilla gorilla genomic chromosome, chr10, whole genome shotgun sequence